AACUAAAAUAGCUAACCUUAACCCUGCUCAUCUUGCCUCACUUAUUCCUUCCCAUGGAAACCACCGUAAAGGCUCUUGCCCAUCUUUUUCCAUCACUCCUGCCUUCUCGCUGACCAUACUGUCUCCCUAUUUGGUCCUGCAUGGAAUAGUACUUUCCUUUCUCUUGGGAUCUGUGAGUAACAAACUAUCUUUUCAGUGGCAAUUUACACUAAUUAAUUAAAAUUGUUUUCUCCAAUAAUAAAUUAACCUUAGCUUACUGUAACUUUUAAACUUUAUAAAUGUUUAAACUUUUUUUAACUUUUUUACUUUUUUGUAAUAACACUUCACUUACAACACAAACAUAUUGUACAGCUGUACAAAAAUGUCUUCUUUAUAUCCUCAUUUUAUAAGCUUUUUUAAUUAAAUUUUUCUUUUUUUUUUACUU
rnacentral:lncRNA from 1 species